rnacentral:rRNA from 1 species
GUGGGGAAUAUUGGACAAUGGGCGAAAGCCUGAUCCAGCCAUGCCGCGUGUGUGAAGAAGGUCUUCGGAUUGUAAAGCACUUUAAGUUGGGAGGAAGGGCAGUAAGUUAAUACCUUGCUGUUUUGACGUUACCAACAGAAUAAGCACCGGCUAACUUCGUGCCAGCAGCCGCGGUAAUACGAAGGGUGCAAGCGUUAAUCGGAAUUACUGGGCGUAAAGCGCGCGUAGGUGGUUCAGCAAGUUGAAGGUGAAAUCCCCGGGCUCAACCUGGGAACUGCCUCCAAAACUGCAUGACUAGAGUACGGUAGAGGGUAGUGGAAGUUCCUGUGUAGCGGUGAAAUGCGUAGAUAUAGGAAGGAACACCAGUGGCGAAGGCGACUACCUGGACUGAUACUGACACUGAGGUGCGAAAGCGUGGGGAGCAAACAGGAUUAGAAACCCGAGUAGUCC